CGCAUUGAGAGACUAUGUUUAUGGAAUCUUUCUCUCCCUGUCGCCUGGAGGUGCUUUGCUCAGCGCUGUCCUCAUUCUCAGGACGGGCCUCAGGACAAAGGUGGCCGAGGUGGAGUCUGGCUGCUCCGGGUUUGCCUCCCACCAGGUUCACGGCCCCAGAGGAAGAGAAGCCCCGUGUCCGGAGUCUCCCGGGGAAUAGCAGGGGGUGUGGCCAGGGCUGCGCUGCUCCGAUUGGCUGGUUUGGGUCAAACGCCCCUCCCCGGAGCUAGGGGGAGGGGCCAGCCGUCCUGGAGCCGCACGGCUUGAGACUAAAGGACCCUUGGAUCCCCAAAACGUAUUCGGGGUGCCGAUUCCAGAAAAAGCGGUGGAGGAUACUCGGCUCCCAAAGCAACAGACGUCCAGGACGACUCUGGCAUCAAUGCGUUUUUCUUUCGUUGGCGGGGGAAGGCGUAUCUGGGACCCUGGACGUAAGGAGGGAGCUGGAGAAUCAAGCGAACUCUUGUUCGUGGGAUGUGAUCAGAGCCUUGCACCAGGGCAGGCAGCCGGCAGGGAGCUAGGAAGAGCUGUGGCCAGCGGGGACCUGCGGGGACCUGCGGACGGAGGCCAGGAGGGGCCGGGCAGGUGGCAAAGGUCUGAGAUCUGACAGGCAGUCUCCACAGGCAGUUUCCUGCUCACUGCCAGGUGUCAGGUUUUAUUCAAUGCUUCCUCCUACUGUUAGUAGUAGUACUUGGGGGGCAAACAGGGGAAAGGGCUGUGACCUCUCGGUGGGAAUGGGGGCCUCAGAUGCACUGGGAACAGCUGUUUCCUGAGCAUCCACGUGUCAGGUGCUGCUCUGAACAUGUCCCGCGGGUUCACUCAUUUGCUUCUCACGACAACCCUCUGACGUUGGUCCUAUUAUUAUCGUUCCUGUUGUAGACAUGAGGAAACUGAGGCACAGAGAGGUUAAGUGACUUGCCCAAGACACACAGUCUCCAGGGGCUCAGACAGUGUCUUUCGGUCCAUUCGGAGGGAAGAAUGCCUGAGGACUCAGGGACAUCUCUUGCCACAGAGGUGACAGUGCAGGGGACCCCCGCUGGGGGUUAAAGUCUGCCAGGACCCAGACUGCGAAAAUAAAAGCAGAGGAAGACAAAAG